GGAGAGGUGGGUGAGUGGCUGAAACCAGUAGUUUGCUAAACUGCCGAGCUGGGCAACUGGCUCCACGGGUUCGAAUCCCGUCCUCUCCGCCA
rnacentral:tRNA from 3 species